rnacentral:rRNA from 1 species
UGGGGAAUAUUGCGCAAUGGGCGAAAGCCUGACGCAGCGACGCCGCGUGGGUGAUGAAGGCCUUCGGGUCGUAAAGCCCUGUCGGGAGGGACGAAACCUCGGUGACCUAAUACGUCACCGACCUGACGGUACCUCUUAAGGAAGCACCGGCUAACUCCGUGCCAGCAGCCGCGGUAAUACGGAGGGUGCGAGCGUUGUUCGGAAUUACUGGGCGUAAAGCGCGUGCAGGCGGUCUCUUAAGUCUGGUGUGAAAGCCCGGGGCUCAC